CCUACGGGAGGCAGCAGUGGGGAAUAUUGCACAAUGGGCGAAAGCCUGAUCCAGCAACGCCGCGUGAAGGAAGAAGGUUUUCGGGUUGUAAACUUCUAUCCAUAGGGACGAAGGAAGUGACGGUACCUCAGUAAUAAGCCACGUCUAACUACGUGCCAGCAGCCGCGGUAAUACGUAGGGGGCAAGCGUUAUCCGGAAUUACUGGGUGUAAAGGGUGAGUAGGUGGCAAGGUAAGCUAUAUGUGAAAGCCAUGGGCUUAACUUAAGGAUUGCAUGAGGAACUAUCUAGCUUGAGUACAGGAGAGGAAAGCGGAAUUCCUAGUGUAGCGGUGAAAUGCGUAGAUAUUAGGAAGAACACCAGUGGCGAAGGCGGCUUGCUGGACUGAAACUGACGCUGAGGCUCGAAAGCGUGGGGAGCAAACAGGAUUAGAUACCCCUGUAGUC
rnacentral:rRNA from 1 species